GCCUCUGAAAGAAAAAAAACACAAGCACCAAACAAGGAAAAAUACACAGAAAUGUCCAAUCACCACAUGGAUUGCCUGUAGAUGGACGGGAAGGAUGAAGUGAGUGAUGAUGACACAUAUCGUUGGAGGAAACCCACAGCAUCAUAGCCAGACCGGUCCCAUGAUGCUCCCUGAAUCCACCUGUCAAGCCCAGACUGACGACCCAGGAGACAAGGGAGCGAGAGAGCGGUACUCGUUUUUAUAACCUCUGGCAGGAGUGGAAGACGUAAACAGCUCCCUUACUUAAGAACAAAAAAAAAAAAUAGGGCAACACAGAUAUACUCCACAGACAUCAAAAAUACUGCAGAAGAUCCUCCCCUCCUGGUCAGCGUCAAAUCUAGGACAUGGUGGAGAACUUAUAAAGGACUCCUGCCAUAAAACGCGUUAAU